rnacentral:rRNA from 1 species
GCUAGGACGAACGCUGGCGGCGUGCCUAAUACAUGCAAGUCGAACGGUCUUUUCUAUGGAAGCUUGCUUCCACUGAGAAGAUAGUGGCGAACGGGUGAGUAACACGUGGGUAACCUGCCCAUAAGAGGGGGGAUAACAUCCGGAAACGGGUGCUAAUACCGCAUAGUUUUCUUGAUCGCAUGAUCGGGAAAGGAAAGACGGCCUUUGUGCUGUCGCUUAUGGAUGGACCCGCGGCGUAUUAGUUAGUUGGUGAGGUAACGGCUCACCAAGACGAUGAUACGUAGCCGACCUGAGAGGGUGAUCGGCCACAUUGGGACUGAGACACGGCCCAAACUCCUACGGGAGGCAGCAGUAGGGAAUCUUCCGCAAUGGACGAAAGUCUGACGGAGCAACGCCGCGUGAGUGAAAGAAGGUUUUCGGAUCGUAAAACUCUGUUGUCAGAGAAGAACAAGUUGGAGAGUAACUGCUCCAGCCUUGACGGUAUCUGACCAGAAAGCCACGGCUAACUACGUGCCAGCCGCCGC